rnacentral:RNase_P_RNA from 1 species
CAGCCGGGUAAUCGCGCUUAUGCUGCGCAAGUGGUGUAAGUGAGGAAAGUCCGUGCAUCUUAGGGCAGAUCGCCGGAGAAAGUCCGGACGGUGUGAACCGGUGGAUAGGACCACAGAAAACAUACAGCCGAUGGAUAGAAAUAUCACAGGCAAUGGUGCAACGGUGAGGUAAGAGCUCACCGGCGAAUCCGAGAGGUGACGCGUCAAGGCAACCCCCGAUUGGAUGCAAGAUUAAAUUGAAGAUUAAGGCUGCCCGCCGACUUCAGACAAAAUCGCUGGUGGUUUGGAGUAAUCCAAAUCCAAGACAGAUGAUUACCGAGAAACAGAACACGGCUUAUGAACUGCUUU